UACGUAGGGGGCAAGCGUUGUCCGGAGUUACUGGGCGUAAAGCGCACGCAGGCGGUCGUGCAGGUUUGGGGUGACAGUGCCCGGCUUACCUGGGCAAGGACCUUGAAAACGGCACGACUUGAGGGGUUCAGAGGGACCGAGAAUUCCGGGUGGAGUGGUGAAAUGCGUAGAUAUCCGGAGGAAUACCCAUGGCGAAGGCAUGGUCCUGGGAACUCACUGACGCUCAGGUGCGAAAGCGAGGGGAG
rnacentral:rRNA from 1 species